CUCUUAACGAUAUCUUUGGUAUGAUAUUGGAAAUGGUUAUAUUCUUACAUCUUCUUGUGACUUUCAUUAACAAUUGAUUACCUGUCGUUACGUAGUAUUAUUUGCCUGAUCCUUUUAAUUAGGUUACAUAAUACAAUUUUUCUUUCAACACCUCAAGUCAAGUAAGAAUAGCCGCUGAACUUAAGCAUAUCAAUAAGCGGAGGAAAAGAAACUAACAAGGAUUCCCUUAGUAACGGCGAGUGAAGAGGGAAGAGCUCAAAUUUUAAAUCUCCGAGGUUUCCUUGGCGAGUAGUAAUUUGACGAGAGUGUUUUGACAUUCAGGUUUUAUUUAAAUCCUUUGGGCUAAGGUAUCAUAGAGGGGGAGAAUCCCGUUUAUGAUUAAAUCUUGAGUGUCACUUAAUUCACUUUCCUAGAGUCGAGAUGUUUGGGAUUGCAGCUCAAAACGGGUGGUAAAUUUCACCUAAGGCUAAGUAUAUGCAACAGACCGAUAGCGAACAAGUGCCGUGAGGGUAAGAUGAAAAGAACUUUGAAAAGAGAGUU
rnacentral:rRNA from 1 species